rnacentral:rRNA from 1 species
UACGUAGGGGGCUAGCGUUGUCCGGAAUCAUUGGGCGUAAAGAGCGCGCAGGCGGUCGUUCAAGUCGCGUGUGAAAGCCCCCGGCUCAACUGGGGAGGGUCACGCGAUACUGAUCGACUCGAAGGCAGGAGAGGGUAGUGGAAUUCCCGGUGUAGUGGUGGAAUGCGUAGAUAUCGGGAGGAACACCAGUGGCGAAAGCGGCUCUCUGGUCCAGUACUGACGCUGAGGUGCGAAAGCGUGGGGAGCGAACGGGG